rnacentral:rRNA from 1 species
AGUGGGGGAUAUUGCACAAUGGGCGAAAGCCUGAUGCAGCAACGCCGCGUGAGGGAAGAAGGUUUUCGGAUUGUAAACCUCUGUCCUCUGUGAAGAUAAUGACGGUAGCAGAGGAGGAAGCUCCGGCUAACUACGUGCCAGCAGCCGCGGUAAUACGUAGGGAGCAAGCGUUGUCCGGAAUUACUGGGUGUAAAGGGUGCGUAGGCGGCACCACAAGUCAGGCGUGAAAUCUAUGGGCUCAACCCAUAAACUGCGCUUGAAACUGUGGUACUUGAGUGAAGUAGAGGCAGGCGGAAUUCCCGGUGUAGCGGUGAAAUGCGUAGAGAUCGGGAGGAACACCAGUGGCGAAGGCGGCCUGCUGGGCUUUAACUGACGCUGAGGCACGAAAGCGUGGGUAGCAAACAGGAUUAGAUACCCUGGUAGUCCACGCUGUAAACGAUGAUUACUAGGUGUGGGGGGACUGACCCCUUCCGUGCCGGAGUUAACACAAUAAGUAAUCCACCUGGGGAGUACGGCCGCAAGGUUGAAACUCAAAGGAAUUGACGGGGGCCCGCACAAGCAGUGGAGUAUGUGGU